AAAUAAUAAUAAUUGUAUUCAUCAUUUUCACAUUGCUUGACAGUGUCAUUCUAUGACGGAAACACAGACGAUAUUAAACUAGAGUUGCCAGAACUAUGUAAUAACCAAGAUAAUAACCAGUUAAAAAGACUAUGCAUGAUUCCAGAGGGCUUGUCUUCUCAACUUGAUUCUCGAGGUAGACGAGAGACUAUGCGUUCUGUGUCAACUGGCGUUUCUUCACACGAAGCUUUGAUCAACUCGUCAGGUCCUGAAAACAAUUAAGUUACUUUAAGUAAAGAUGUGUUUCAAGAUUAUUUUGUUUCAAAUUUGAACUAAAAAA